AAUUGUUUUACAUUGCUAUGGGCAUCAUGGGUGGCACAUGUGUACUCGUCCUGGCCGUGGCUGUAAUUACCUACUUCACGCACAGGGAAUUGCCAGCUCGAGUGGAUAUAAAAAAGUUCUCGUCUUUCACGUCCAACGCCUGAUAGCCCGGACCCACAUUACGCAUUGUUAGUUGUCAGAGAAUGGAGAUGAGGACCGUUCUAGGUCACAUAGUUUUUGUGAUAAUUAUAUAUGUUCACUGACUCCAUGGUUUUGGAACACAGCGGGUACGAAUGAACCUGCUUGACUGUCAGGUUCACCAACACUGAUGAGGAUUCGGCUGUCUGUUUAUAUUCGGGCCUCAGAAGUGGAGUACGCCGGAUGGAAAUAUGCAUGUAUUUGGUACACAGAUUCAACAUUUACAAAGGAUUGAUAUUGUAAAAUUCAUAUUUGAUACCCUCGAUUUUGUUACACCAUUCAGUCUCGAAACACCAAUCACAUCUUUUUAUUUCUAAGGACGUGUAUUAUAGCUUUUUCGGGUAUGGUGCGCAUUCUGCUUUUUAGUGUGAAUCUUAAAAUUUGUUUUGAGGUUACAAUUUACGGGAGAAGACGUCAGCACUCUCACUUCUGCACUGUAGACAUACAGGAAAAGCCCUAAUGUAUGUGAUGGAACUGAUAAGGAUUACUUGCACAAGAACAGCGGAAACAGUAAAUCUGUUGAAUUUA